ACGACUCUCGGCAACGGAUAUCUCGGCUCACGCAUCGAUGAAGAACGUAGCAAAAUGCGAUACUUGGUGUGAAUUGCAGAAUCCCGUGAACCAUCGAGUUUUUGAACGCAAGUUGCGCCCAAAGCCAUUCGGCUGAGGGCACGUCUGCCUGGGCGUCACG
rnacentral:rRNA from 1 species